rnacentral:rRNA from 1 species
UACGAAGGGGGCUAGCGUUGUUCGGAAUCACUGGGCGUAAAGCGCACGUAGGCGGAUUGUUAAGUCGGGGGUGAAAUCCUGAGGCUCAACCUCAGAACUGCCUCCGAUACUGGCAAUCUCGAGUUCGGAAGAGGUUGGUGGAACAGCCAGUGUAGAGGUGAAAUUCGUAGAUAUUAGCUAGAACACCAGUGGCGAAGGCGGCCAACUGGUCCGACACUGACGCUGAGGUGCGAAAGCGUGGGGAGCAAACAGG